rnacentral:rRNA from 1 species
AGCAGCCGCGGUAAUUCCAGCUCCAAUAGCGUAUAUUAAAGUUGUUGCAGUUAAAAAGCUCGUAGUUGAAUUUCGGGGUCAACACGAUCGGUCGUGCCUCCGGUACGUACUGUCGUCGUUGAUCCCUCCAUUCUGAGGAACCAUGAUGCCAUUAAUUUGGUGUGGUGGGGAAACAGGACCGUUACUUUGAAAAAAUUAGAGUGUUUAAAGCAGGCGAACGCUUGAAUACAUUAGCAUGGAAUAAUGAAAUAGGACGUACCGAUUCUAUUUUGUUGGUUUCUAGGAUCGACGUAAUGAUUAAUAGGGAUAGUUGGG